rnacentral:rRNA from 1 species
GUCUAUGGUCAUGCCAUCCUGAACAAGCCCAAUGUCUGAUCUCAGAAGCUAAGCAGGGUCGGGCCUAGUUAGUACUUGGAUGGGAGACCACUAGAAGACCAGGUGCUGUAGGCA